CUCAUUAGCUCUAUCAGUCGCCCCUCCCCCUCCCUUACCCUCUCCAUCGCUGUCUUCUCUCAGCCCGGCUAUCUCUCUCUUUUCUCUAAGCCUCGACCACAAACGCCUCCUCUCCACUUAACUCUCCCCUUCUUCUCUCUCGUCUUUGGCCCUGCGUCCCCCGGAUCCACUCGACUCUCCCCUUCUUCUCUCUCAACAACGGUGCUCUUCCUUCCGACGGCGCCGACAACAUAGUGGUGGUGGUCCGUGGCAUGGUUGGUGGUGCAAUGGGGCUUGCCAACCCUCAACAGCAAUUGAGAGAUUGGCAGAGGCAUCUCUACCAAGAAUGCCGCAACAUCGAACGAUAGAUUAGAGGCAAUGCUCUCUCUCUCUCUCUCUCUCUCUCUUUCUCUGGUAAAUUUCUUUUUUGGUGGUUGAUGUUAUUGUUUUCUUAUAUGGGUUUGUUUGCUUGAUUGUUUCUAGAUGUUCAAAGAGAGCAGAAGGGUGUGGAGAAAGCCAUUAAAGAGGCUGGCAAGAGAAGUGACAUGGGCUCAGCCAAGGGACUGGUGGCUUUUGCUGAAAAUGGAUUGAUGAUCAGAUGGUGGUCUUAGGGACCAGUUUGGUGGGAAAAAUCGAGUCCCUGCUCAGUGUACCAAAUUGAUCUUUGUGUCGCCAUGGGAGGGAUUCUCGCCUAAUUCUUCUAGGUCAAUCAUGAUGGCAAGCGUAAUGGAACAUGAAAAUCAAGUAGAUUUUCAGAUAUUUGAUUUUGGACUAGCAAAAUAGAUGCCAUCUUAAUGGACUCAUCAUUCAAUUGCUCUUAAUAUUUCUCAGGUUGACCUUAUCAUCAACAAGGUGCCAAGUCUAUCAAGGAUACUCUAUAUUAGAUGGCUCUUGAAGUCAUUAUCCAGAGUGCUCAUCCUGAGUCAUUGCCUUAACCGAGAGCUUCUAAAUUUCCCAAAGGAUUGUGCAAAUAAGAAGGUGUCAGUGAAAAUGCAUCACUGGACUAAUAUUGUUGUGGUGUCCGCGCCACGCCUCAAUGUAUUUAUCUUUUUUUUAUUUGUAAGGAAGCUAAGGAUACCUUUGUUUGGAUUGAUCAUACUUUGGACUAUAUUGUUCAUUAAUUUAGGAAUAUUUGUUUCUUUCUUGGUAUUGAUUAAAUGUAUAAUAAAUCUUGGAUACUA